rnacentral:rRNA from 1 species
GGAUGGGCUUAUGGCGCAUUAGCUAGUUGGUGGGGCAAUGGCCCACCAAGGCGACGAUGCGUAGCCGGCCUGAGAGGGCGGACGGCCACACUGGGACUGAGACACGGCCCAGACUCCUACGGGAGGCAGCAGUAGGGAAUUUUCGGCAAUGGGGGGGAACCCUGACCGAGCAACGCCGCGUGAGGGAGGAAGUGCUUCGGCAUGUAAACCUCUGUUAUGAGGGAAGAACGAUGUCUGUAGGGAAUGAUAGACAAGUGACGGUACUUCAUGAGGAAGCCACGGCUAACUACGUGCCAGCAGCCGCGGUAAUACGUAGGUGGCGAGCGUUAUCCGGAAUCAUUGGGCGUAAAGGGAGCGCAGGCGGCGGCGUAAGUCAGUUGUGAAAUCGUGCGGCUUAACCGUGCAAUUGCAGUUGAUACUGCGUCGCUUGAGUGCACACAGGGAUGUUGGAAUUCAUGGUGUAGCGGUGAAAUGCUUAGAUAUCAUGAAGAACUCCGAUCGCGAAGGCAUAUGUCCGGAGUGCAACUGACGCUGAGGCUCGAAAGUGUGGGUAUCAAACAGGAUUAGAUACCCUGGUAGUCCACGCUGUAAACGAUGAAUACUAGGUGUUGGUGCCCAUAGGGCAUCGGUGCCGCAGCAAACGCAAUAAGUAUUCCACCUGGGGAGUACGACCGCAAGGUUGAAACUCAAAGGAAUUGACGGGGGCCCGCACAAGCGGAGGAACAUGUGGUUUAAUUCGAUGAUACGCGAGGAACCUUACCCGGGCUUGAAUUGCAGAGGAAGGAUUUGGAGACAAUGACGCCCUUCGGGGUCUCUGUGAAGGUGCUGCAUGGUUGUCGUCAGCUCGUGCCGUGAGGUGUCGGCUUAAGUGCCAUAACGAGCGCAACCCCUCUCCUUAGUUGCCAUCAGGUCAAGCUGGGCACUCUGGGGACACUGCCACCGUAAGGUGUGAGGAAGGUGGGGAUGACGUCAAAUCAGCACGGCCCUUACGUCCGGGGCUACACACGUGUUACAAUGGCAGGUACAGAGAGAUGGUGUUCUGCAAAGCGCAUCUAAUCCUUAAAGCCUGUCACAGUUCGGACUGGGGUCUGCAACCCGACCCCACGAAGCUGGAUUCGCUAGUAAUCGCACAUCAGCCAUGGCGCGGUGAAUACGUUCCCGGGC